AGAAGACAUGGUGACAGAAGCAAGAGGCUGGAGUCACUCAUGGAAGGGGCCACGAGCCGAGAAGUACAGGCAGCCUCCAGAAACUGGAAAGGCAUGCAGCCGGAUGUCCCCCCUGCAAUCCCGAAGCCUCCAGAAGGAAUGCAGCUUUAUUGGCACCUCAAUUUUAGCUCCAUAAAAUCCAGUUUUUGGACUUGUGCACUCUACAACAUUCACCAAAAUGGUACCCACAGUUGAAAACACUCAUAAGAAUAAUGAAGUCACAUUGCGAUGGACUUUGCUCUCCCAGCUCAAAUUAUGUGCCAACUAAUACAGCAAAUCGUAUGAUAUAUUUAUCAAGUGAUUUGCCACCCACGUCUGUCCCACUCAGAAAAGCCUAUUGCAAUGCAAGAGAAUGAGCGUGAUACCAUUAAAGGGUUGAUCUUGGAUCUAGUCUAAUUUGUGAAGAACAUUUUAUAAGUCACUCAACCAUCAUGAGUAACAAAUCGCUGGGGAAGUGGCUUAGGCCUCCCAGCCACAUGCCAGGAAGCCUGUGUUUGGCAAUGACUGUUGCUCUGUACAGAAUGGCUCAAGUGUUCUAUUGGAAGCAGUUGGACCUUGUGGCUUUCAUGCUGUCACCCUUGUAUUAUUUCUUGGUGUGUCCAGGUAAAGCUGGAGCUCCUUAGCCCAGCCAGAAAGGCAGCUCAUGGUGCAGCCCCUG
rnacentral:lncRNA from 10 species